ACGGUCACGCCGCGUGAGUGAUGAAGGUUUUCGGAUCGUAAAACUCCGUUGUUAGGGAAGAACAAUGCCAUAGUAACUGAUGGCGCCUUGACGGUACCUAACCAGAAAGCCACGGCUAACUACGUGCCAGCAGCCGCGGUAAUACGUAGGUGGCAAGCGUUGUCCGGAAUUAUUGGGCGUAAAGCGCUCGCAGGCGGUUCUUUAAGUCUGAUGUGAAAUCUUACGGCUCAACCGUAAACGUGCAUUGGAAACUGGGGAACUUGAGUGCAGAAGAGGAGAGUGGAAUUCCACGUGUAGCGGUGAAAUGCGUAGAGAUGUGGACGAACACCAGUGGCGAAGGCGACUCUCUGGUCUGUAACUGACGCUGAGGAGCGACAGCGUGGGGAGCGAACAGGAUUAGAUACCCUGGU
rnacentral:rRNA from 1 species